rnacentral:snoRNA from 1 species
GAAUGACGAAAUCACCCAAAAUAGCUAUAAUGAUCGACAGAUUGUAUAGUGGCAAACCUACAGUCUUCCAAAA